GACGAACGCUGGCGGCGUGCUUAACACAUGCAAGUCGAACGGUAAGGCCCUUCGGGGUACACGAGAGGCGAACGGGUGAGUAACACGUGGGUGAUCAGCCCUGCACUUAGGGAUAAGCCGGGGAAAAUGGGUCUAAUACCGGGUAGGACCAGUGCCUGCACGGGCGGUGGGGGAAAGCUUUUGCGGUGUGGGAUGGGCCCGCGGCCUAUCAGCUUGUUGGUGGGGGGAUGGCCUAACAAGGCGCAGACGGGUAGCCGGCCUGAGGGGGUGACCGGCCACACUGGGACUGAGAGACGGCACAGGCUCCUACGGGAGGCAGCGGUGGGGAAUAUUGCACAAGGGGCGCAAGCCUGAUGCAGCGACGCCGCGUGAGGGAUGACGGCCUUCGGUUUGUAAACCUCUUUCAGCACAGACGAAGCGAAAGUGACGGUAGGUGCAGAAGAAGGACCGGCCAACUACGUGCCAGCCGCCGCAGUAA
rnacentral:rRNA from 1 species